UGAAAAACGAAGGAAGGAACUGGGAUGUCUGCUUGGUUUCUGAAGACUCAGAGGGCAAUGGGAUAUUUGGAGGAAGACGUGAGACCCCCCCCGUAUAUGCUAAUGCUCUCUGCAGGAUAUUGUGGCAGCAUAGUUGAGGUUGACAAAAUUUAAAGAUCUGACAAUAUCGAGUGUUGGUGAGGAUGUGGACAACCAGGAUCUUGUAUGCUCUUCUGGUGAGACUGUGUAUCAGUACAACUACUUUGAAGAAAAAUCUGGCAGUCUGUCCACUCCCACUUCUGUCCCUUGACAGCCUGUGCUUCACACAGCAGCGACGUGAGCCUUCUAGAGCUUAAAUCACGCCAUGGCACCUCUCAAUUAGAAGCCUUCUGCAGUGAAUGACGUAUUGCCAUACGCAGCAACACAGAUGAAUCUCACAAACAUGAGGUUGAAUGAAAGAAACUAGACACAAAAGAGCACAAACUAUAUGAUUCCUAUGAUUUCUUUAUAUAAUGUUCAAACACAGUGUGCUGGUUUGGAUGUAUUAUGUCCCCCAAAACUCCAUGUUCUUUGAUGCAAUCUUGUGGGGGCAGGCGUAUUAGUGUUGAU